AACGAACGCUGGCGGCAGGCUUAACACAUGCAAGUCGAGCGCCCCGCAAGGGGAGCGGCAGACGGGUGAGUAACGCGUGGGAAUCUACCCAUCUCUACGGAAUAACGCAUGGAGACGUGUGCUAAUACCGUAUACGUCCUUCGGGAGAAAGAUUUAUCGGAGAUGGAUGAGCCCGCGCUGGAUUAGCUAGUUGGUGGGGUAAAGGACUAACAAGGCGACGAGCCAUAGCUGGUCUGAGAGGAUCAUCAGCCACACUGGGACUGAGACACGGCCCAGACUCCUACGGGAGGCAGCAGUGGGGAAUAUUGGACAAUGGGCGCAAGCCUGAUCCAGCCAUGCCGCGUGAGUGAUGAAGGCCCUAGGGUUGUAGAGCUCUUUCACCGGUGAAGAUAAUGACGGUAACCGGAGAAGAAGCCCCGGCUAACUUCGUGCCAGCCGCCGCGGUAACAC
rnacentral:rRNA from 1 species